GAUGCUCUGAGCGGGAAAGGCGGCUGUUGCCGCUGCUGCUACCGCUGUCGCCGCGAUCCGGCUCCGCCGUGGCCGCGCACUGCGCUCGUUCCCUUUUGGUUUCCAUAGUGACCGAAGACACUUCACAAAGCCCGGGAAGGCGGAUCUCCCAAGAGAACUUCGGGAAGAAAAGAGGGGCGGGGACCCCAAAGGAGGCCCACGGUGUACCCUCCCACCCCUGCUCCCGCUCCGGAGUCAGCAGAGAGCCCCAGUGGAAGUCGAAACAAUAGCACCAACGAGCUAUGGUCAUGCUGCGUGGGGGCUCUCCUGGCUGCUCAGUCCCAGAUCCUGGAGAAGCUGAACUCCCCGGGGCUUCCCUCCAGUCUAGUUUCCUCUGUUUUCAGGGCCCUUUCCUCUUUCUAGAGGGCAGUUUUCAGGAUUUUAGUAGAUCAGGUGGAGCGCACAUACAAUCUGUGUCUACUACCAUUCACACAAAGUAGAAAUCUGACGCGGUCCUCUGAUCCCUAAGAAACAUUAAUUUAUCAACGCUUUCUGGGCAGUUUAAGUUUGAAAAUGGCGCCCCCUGGGUUGCUGUCCACUAGAAUGGGUAAUUGACAACACAAAAUAAAGACUUGAGUGUGUUAAA